UGUUUAAAGUUAGAUACUAUUUUUCUUCUUUAUUUUGAAAUUUAAUUUAACAAACACAUGAUUUGACAUGAUUAAAUUCUGUUAGUAAUUGGGGAAAAUUUUACACAUGUCCAAAAUUUGCUUUAAAUUGGAUACAUUAGGGGCCAGAUUUACUCUUGCUAUAAUUUCAAGAUCAAAACUGUUAAUGGCUAAACGUUGAGGAUCCGAUUUACUUUUGUCAAAACUUUAAGGACUAAAAUUGAAUGGGUGCUAAAUAUUGGAGAUUAAAACUGUAGUUUUUUCUUUUAUAAGAAUUAAUUUUUUAUUUGCUAGAAUUCACUUUCAUGAUCAAUGCAUGCUCAUGUUUUCCUAUAAAAGGUAGGAAAAAUCAUCAAUUUAGUU
rnacentral:lncRNA from 1 species